rnacentral:rRNA from 1 species
CGGCCGAUGUCUGAUUAGCUAGUUGGUGGGGUAAAGGCCCACCAAGGCGACGAUCAGUAGCUGGUCUGAGAGGACGAUCAGCCACACUGGGACUGAGACACGGCCCAGACUCCUACGGGAGGCAGCAGUGGGGAAUUUUGGACAAUGGGGGCAACCCUGAUCCAGCAAUGCCGCGUGUGUGAAGAAGGCCUUCGGGUUGUAAGGCACUUUUGUCCGGAAAGUGACGGUACCGGAAGAAUAAGCACCGGCUAACUACGUGCCAGCAGCCGCGGUAAUACGUAGGGUGCGAGCGUUAAUCGGAAUUACUGGGCGUAAAGCGUGCGCAGGCGGUUUUGUAAGACAGGCGUGAAAUCCCCGGGCUUAACCUGGGAAUUGCGCUUGUGACUGCAAGGCUAGAGUGCGUCAGAGGGGGGUAGAAUUCCACGUGUAGCAGUGAAAUGCGUAGAG